rnacentral:rRNA from 1 species
UUGAACGCUGGCGGCAGGCCUAACACAUGCAAGUCGAGCGGUAGAGAGAAGCUUGCUUCUCUUGCGAGCGGCGGACGGGUGAGUAAUGCCUAGGAAUCUGCCUGGUAGUGGGGGAUAACGUUCGGAAACGGACGCUAAUACCGCAUACGUCCUACGGGAGAAAGCAGGGGACCUUCGGGCCUUGCGCUAUCAGAUGAGCCUAGGUCGGAUUAGCUAGUUGGUGGGGUAAUGGCUCACCAAGGCGACGAUCCGUAACUGGUCUGAGAGGAUGAUCAGUCACACUGGAACUGAGACACGGUCCAGACUCCUACGGGAGGCAGCAGUGGGGAAUAUUGGACAAUGGGCGAAAGCCUGAUCCAGCCAUGCCGCGUGUGUGAAGAAGGUCUUCGGAUUGUAAAGCACUUUAAGUUGGGAGGAAGGGCAGUAAAUUAAUACUUUGCUGUUUUGACGUUACCGACAGAAUAAGCACCGGCUAACUCUGUG